CCUACGGGAGGCAGCAGUGGGGAAUUUUGGACAAUGGGCGCAAGCCUGAUCCAGCAAUGCCGCGUGAGUGAAGAAGGCCUUCGGGUUGUAAAGCUCUUUUGUCAGGGAAGAAACGGUGUUUUCUAAUACAGAGCGCUAAUGACGGUACCUGAAGAAUAAGCACCGGCUAACUACGUGCCAGCAGCCGCGGUAAUACGUAGGGUGCAAGCGUUAAUCGGAAUUACUGGGCGUAAAGCGUGCGCAGGCGGUUUUGUAAGUUUGUCGUGAAAUCCCCGGGCUCAACCUGGGAAUGGCGAUGAAGACUGCAAGGCUAGAGUUUGGCAGAGGGGGGUAGAAUUCCACGUGUAGCAGUGAAAUGCGUAGAUAUGUGGAGGAACACCGAUGGCGAAGGCAGCCCCCUGGGUCAAAACUGACGCUCAUGCACGAAAGCGUGGGGAGCAAACAGGAUUAGAUACCCUGGUAGUCCACGCCCUAAACGAUGUCUACUAGUUGUCGGGUCUUAAUUGACUUGGUAACGCAGCUAACGCGUGAAGUAGACCGCCUGGGGAGUACGGUCGCAAGAUUAAAACUUCAAAGGAAUUGACGG
rnacentral:rRNA from 1 species